GGGGGAUAGCUCGGCGAAAGCCGGAUUAAUACCGCAUACGCUCUGAGAAGAAAGCGGGGGACUCGCAAGGGCCUCGCGCUGCGGGAGUGGCCGAUGUCGGAUUAGCUAGUUGGUGAGGUAAAGGCUCACCAAGGCGACGAUCCGUAGCUGGUCUGAGAGGAUGAUCAGCCACACUGGGACUGAGACACGGCCCAGACUCCUACGGGAGGCAGCAGUGGGGAAUUUUGGACAAUGGGGGCAACCCUGAUCCAGCCAUGCCGCGUGAGUGAAGAAGGCCUUCGGGUUGUAAAGCUCUUUCGGACGGAACGAAACGGUUGCGGUGAGUGUCCGCGACUAGUGACGGUACCGUAAGAAGAAGC
rnacentral:rRNA from 1 species